UUGAACCCCCAUACUAUGGAGCGAGAGUUAGAUGUUCUAACCUCUAGGCUACUCAGGACUGUGAAAAAUUCGGAUAGAAAGCCUAAACAGAUUUGACACUUAUUACUACGAUUCGAUAAUUAGGACUGGACGAUACAACCCUACCAACACUAGACCCAUAUCGAUAAUCGACAAUCGAAGUAGUUGGCCGAGAACUAUAACUUGGGAAUCAGAACAGAGUGGAACUUUUCCCAAAAACCCAGUAGGUGAGGUUUAAGGGAACCCCUAGACGCUCUCAUCUCGGCGCCGGUGGUAGCUGAGUGAGUAAAGGGGUUACUUGUCAGCAAUAACACCAUAUCACCACCGGCCCGAGUUCGAAUCCCGGUAAGUUCUAAGCAGCUUGACACACAAAUAGACAACUAAGGAUACAUAUACAAGGAUACACGUUAUAGGUACACUCUUGAAUUGAACGCAAUAAAUAAAGUAGAAUUAAGCAAAAUGUGAGCCGAAAAAAAA